ensembl:miRNA
UCCUGCCCCAGUGGUCUGGGUGGGGCCUGAGGUCCUGAAUUCCUAAUGAACUCCCAGGUGAAACCCAGACUCCAUGUGCCAGAGGA